UACAGAGGGUGCGAGCGUUAAUCGGAAUUACUGGGCGUAAAGCGUGCGUAGACGGUUAUUUAAGUCGGGUGUGAAAGCCCCGGGCUCAACCUGGGAAUUGCAUUCGAGACUGAAUAGCUAGGGUACGGUAGAGGGAAGCGGAAUUUCCGGUGUAGCGGUGAAAUGCGUAGAUAUCGGAAGGAACACCAGUGGCGAAGGCGACUACCUGGCCUGUUCUUGACGCUGAGGCGCGAAAGCUAGGGAGCAACGGGGAUUAAGAAACCC
rnacentral:rRNA from 1 species